AAAGAUGCACAUUACAUUGUUGGUAAUAGCUGUUGAUAAUUUGGCAUUUGAAAUAAAUGGAAUUAUAAUAGCAGGAUCAAUUACUCGCUUACAUGUAAAACUGUGAUUUUUACAUACAUGUAUUAUUCAUAUGUGUGUAAAAAUUUAUAAUAAUUAGAUUUCUUGGUUCUACCUUACACGUGCCUGGAGGAUUUGAUAGACAAGAAACUGGCUCAUUUGUGGGAACUUUAAGCAGUGUUGAUAUGCCUGCGUUACAUGUUCUGCUGUACGUUGCGCUACAGUUAGCCAACACAAAGAUGACUGACUCAUUAGGAUAUGAUUUUCCCGUUUAUUCAAGAGAAAACUGUCCAACGAAUGCCAAAGAAUUGUCUGAUGCAUCUGUUAGGUUAAAUUGCAACGAUACACAUGGGUAACAUUGUGUCCCUGAUAAAAAUUUCUCAUCUCUUAUAGAAUUUUGUUAUCCGAGAGGGAGACGUAUUCCUUUUCAAAAAGGGAAUUGUUUGGAACUCGCCUAUACUGGAAUUCUAAACCACGUCAAGUGUGGUCAUUUCAGCUAUGGUUGUCCUGACAAGGAUUAUUUCAGCAAUGAAAUUU